UACGUAGGGUGCAAGCGUUGUCCGGAAUUAUUGGGCGUAAAGAGCUCGUAGGCGGUUUGUUGCGUCGGCUGUGAAAUCCCGAGGCUCAACCUCGGGUCUGCAGUCGAUACGAGCAAACUAGAGUAUUGCAGGGGGAGACUGGAAUUCCGUGGUGUAGACGGUGAAAUGACGCAGAUAUCAGGAGGGAACACCGGUGGGCGAAGGCGGGUCUCUGGGGCUGUGAAACU
rnacentral:rRNA from 1 species